rfam:Gossypium arboreum cultivar AKA8401 contig_12330_5, whole genome shotgun sequence.
AACUAGUCUUUUAUGUAUUUUUACUGUUAAAAGCUGUCAUGGCUGACGAAAUAACCAGAUAUGUACACCUGGUGUGUCUUGUGUAUCUCAAGCUGACAUACAUGAGCCCAGUUUUUAACAGUAAAAAUAGAUGAAAUUUUUAAUA